AGAGAUUCUUGGAUACCAAUGUUUGUUAGAAAACGUGGGUAGAGGAUACCCAAUAUUUUAAAAAACAUAGGGAUAAUUUUUAAAACUCUUUUUUUUUUGUGACAAUCUUUUAGAACGAUUUAAAUCUUCAACAUUAUAUAUUUCCCUAACGUGAUUUCAAAAAAACCCUGGCCUCCACUACAUUGUCUUCUUCCCAACCCUCCCCCCCUCUCGUUUUUCGGUGAGCAGCAACCCGAGCAGCCGACGACACGACCUCCUCCCACAGCGGAAACAAUCUGUCGGCAAGAACCCGAGCAGCUGCACCUUCCCCGAUCAGAUCUGCAGUGGCGAACGGCGGUUGCAGCCACAUCCAUCGACGGCACGGCACCCCUGCAGCAUCUCCACGAUAGUUCAAGCCCUGAUCUGGUGCAAGCAGCGGGUGACCCUCGGUGUGCAGUUCUCUUCUACCCACGACAGUGCGCGACAAACAGGCAAGAUUUAGCGGUUUCUACAGCGUUUCCGGCAUCCCACGGUAGUAGCUUCAAACCUCAACGCUCCAUUAGACCUGCAGCGGCAAGAUUCGAGCAGAUCCGACACUUGUAGCAACCGAAAAACCAGAUCUGCGGCUCUCUCGAUGCCGUUCUGCUGUGACUGGCGACGUGAUCCCUCCAACGAACCUAAACAAUCCAGAUUCGUGAAGCUCAACAAGUUUCGAUGUGUUAUUCCUUGUCCCAGCGACAUUUAAGGUUGACCCACUUGUUGGAAGCCAAAUUAGUGAUACCCACCCCCUUGGGCAUUGACCCACCCCUAACAUAAGUUGUUUUAUUGUGAGUUAGUAGGAACCCUUCGGCGAGCUUUAGUAGUGUGUUGGGACUUUGGUAAAGACAAACUUGGUGUGGAGGUCGUUCCCAUCCAAACGUUUAAAGAGACGAGAUAUAAUCUUAAAAAAGGAUGGGUAAACCCCCAUGCCGAAACAACACAUAAAACGUUAGAGGACAUGAGGGAUGCACCGGUACCAGAAGGGACCGAUCCGCCAAGAAGAAGAUUGUUGUCGGACUGUAUUCGGUCCGCAAUCUGGAUUCUUCGUAAGCAUGAGGUUGGGCCCAACACCAGGAGCGAGAAGAGUAAGCUUAUCCAACGAUCCAAUAGUCAUGUUGGAACUAAACCAAACGAACAAAGAAUUAAAGGCGACUAAAGACGAAUUGAGGGAGACUAAAGAAUGGUUGGAAAGUACCGAAGAUCGCUUAAGCCGAACUAAAGAAGUUUUAGCCAGCAAUCUACAAGAGUUCAGUAAUUUCAAAAACUACUUCGAAAGUUUCACGAGUCAAUCCUUAGGCGAAUCAUGCCCUUUGUCUGGAUAGGCAUAAAACUUUUACUUAUGUUUUUGUAGCUUUUGAAAGAUAUUUAACGUGUAAAUUCAAUAACUUUUGAAGCAUGUGAAUUUGGAUGAUAUUUUGGUA